UGCCUCCAAUCAGCUCUAUUCGAGGUCUCUAUCCUUGAAUUACAUACUUGAAAUUUGUCACAUGGACGACCAGUGGUUUUACUUUCAUGUGAGCAAGUUUUUUUUUCAUUGAAAGGAGGCAUUGUCUAUUGGAGUACACAGAGCUCUAGAUCACUCCCAAUUUGAUUCUGUUCGGCAAAGCUGAGAAGUGUCACAAGUCUUACCGCAAGUGGUGCCAUCCAUUACUUCUGAUGAUGCAAGAAAACUCUUCUACGAAUCACGUCAGAAUGGUGUGGCUGUUGUUAUAGUUGCUGUGAA